rnacentral:rRNA from 1 species
AAUAGAUACCCUGGUAGUCCACGCCGUAAACGAUGAGUGCUAGGUGUUAGGAGGUUCGCCCUUAGUGCCGAAGUUAACACAUUAAGCACUCCGCCUGGGGAGUACGGUCGCAAGACUGAAACUCAAAGGAAUUGACGGGGGCCCGCACAAGCGGUGGAGCAUGUGGUUUAAUUCGAAGCAACGCGAAGAACCUUACCAGGGCUUGACAUCCCUCUGACACACCUAGAGAUAGGUGCUCCCUUCGGGACAGAGGUGACAGGUGGUGCAUGGUUGUCGUCAGCUCGUGUCGUGAGAUGUUGGGUUAAGUCCCGCAACGAGCGCAACCCUUGUCCUUAGUUGCCAGCAUUGAGUUGGGCACUCUAGGGAGACUGCCGGUGACAAACCGGAGGAAGGUGGGGAUGACGUCAAAUCAUCAUGCCCCUUAUGUCCUGGGCUACACACGUGCUACAAUGGCUGGUACAAAGGGCAGCGAACCCGCGAGGGGGAGCCAAUCCCAAAAAGCCAGUCACAGUUCGGAUUGUAGG